UAAAAAAAAACACACAUACAUGUGUGUACGUAUGCGAUCAGAAGAAGGAGCCAGGAGAGCUCAAACCCUAGUUCAGCAAAUCCUCCAAAUCGAAGCUCAAAUCAAGCCCGAAUCGUCUGCAUGAUUACAAAUUCGUGAUCGCCUAGUCGUGGGGAUCAUAAGUUGACUCUAAACAAGCUAGGUGGGAGCUUGAAAAGGGACGGGUCAAACGGAUCAUGGAUGCGAAGAAUGUUUGCGCGGACGCGAGGAGUAGGUAUCCAAUGGAUACUCGCAUCGCUCUUAAUUAGCAAUUAUAAAGCAAGGUAUUAAACCGGGUUAGUAAGUUGAUCCGAGCCAGGUAUGUAUAAUAUAUUAACUCAUCAUGUAGAACUUGAAGUUCUAUAAAAGUUAGGCAAAAUAAAAAAAAAAGAAGGGCAUUCGGUUACCUUAAUAGGUAAACCGAAGGAUUUAAAUUAUUUAGACAGAAUGUUUUGAAAACAAGAUUUGGUUAAAAAUGAGAAAUUAGAGUCAAACAACAGGUUUGUUUGAUAAAAUCACGAACGGGUCAAAUUUGGUAAAAAGGGGUAAUAAGCCGAAGACUUAAAAGUCUUAAAUUUUGUUAAUCCAGAUGUUGGGUCUUGACUCCAUUUGAUGGAGGUUCAAUUUACAAUCACGUAGGAAGAAACGGUAGGUUAAACAGACAAGCGGAUUAAAAGUUAUGAAGGUUUCCGUUUUAGAAAUCGGCAAACUUGGAAAAUCUUGCAGAGGCCACCGUAAGUUACGGUAGCUACCGUAACUUACGGUAGCCUUAAAAAUCUUUACGCCUUAAACCCACUGAGUUACGGUGGAAGAUUCAACAUUCAGGGGCUACCGUAAAUUACGGUAGCCACCGUAAUUUACGGUAGACCCUGUAACAAAAUUUAUUUUAAUCAGUUUCGUUUCCCAGAACUCGUUAGACACGUUUAUAACCCCCGUAAGACUAAAGCAUUUCUUGUUUAUGAAAUGUAGGUACAUUUUGGAUGCCGGAAGAUGAUCAAGCUCAUUGGAGAACCGAACACGAUAAAGAUACAUGCUUCCGCACAGUGUCUCGUCGUAAAUUUUAAACGACGAAUUCAAUUACGUUAUGUCGAAUAACUUAUGAUUUGUAAAAGUUUUAAUAAACCCGUAUUUUUAUAGUAUGUGUAGUCUUAUCUACACAACUACUUGUUGGUAAUUAUAUGUAAAACCGUUAAAUAGUAAUUAGGAUGUUACAAGUUGGUAAUCAGAGCUCAUGGUUAAAGAGUAAGGUGUGUUCGGUUCGAGGCUUGAUCGCAAAUCCGGUAAGUACAUCUAUGCUAAUAGUUUAGCAUGCUAAAGUGUUGUAAACAACACAUGGGGUUAUCGUGUGAUACACGUUACCUCAAUUAAGCGAUAAAUGUAGUUGACAAAGUUACGUGUGUUGACACAUAUAGUACAAAAGUCUUGUAUUAUGAUACGGGCAUUUGGUAAAGUUGACAUUACUAACUUUUGUGAAUGUCUUGAUUGAAGGACACUUGCGUUUAAAGAUGACAAAGGUUAAACAAAUUAAAGAUGUGAUAGAGGGACAGUCCGAGGCAUGACGAGAGGAACAUGCUCACUAAGGACUAAAUCGCGUAAAGACCGCGAACAAGGUUAAUGGCAAGAAACGCCCGUCGGGGCAAGCAUUAUCAGGUGCGUGCUUUUAAAUAUAAUCGCGCAAUUAGUAAUGUGCAACAAACAUGUAAAGAAUGAUUGUCGCAUAUGUAAAUUAGAAACUUGAGAAACCUGAAUAGAAUACCUAUCCAGGAUAUUAUCUCCAAGAAAACUAAAUAGAGGUGUUACUUACA